UACGUAGGGGGCAAGCGUUGUCCGGAUUUAUUGGGCGUAAAGAGCUCGUAGGCGGUUUGUCGCGUCUGCUGUGAAAACCUAAGGCUCAACCUUGGGCUUGCAGUGGGUACGGGCAGACUAGAGUGCGGUAGGGGUGACUGGAAUUCCUGGUGUAGCGGUGGAAUGCGCAGAUAUCAGGAGGAACACCGGUGGCGAAGGCGGGUCUCUGGGCCGAUACUGACGCUGAGGAGCGAAAGCGUGGGGAGCAAACAGG
rnacentral:rRNA from 1 species